rnacentral:rRNA from 1 species
CCAGACUCCUACGGGAGGCAGCAGUGGGGAAUAUUGGGCAAUGGAGGCAACUCUUACCCAGCAAUGCCGCGUGAAUGAAGAAGGUCUUCGGAUUGUAAAGUUCUUUAAUUGGGGACGAAAAGAAUGACGGUACCCAAGGAAUAAGCCCCGGCUAACUACGUGCCAGCAGCCGCGGUAAUACGUAGGGGGCAAGCGUUAUCCGGAUUUACUGGGUGUAAAGGGAGCGUAGACGGCCAGACAAGUCUGAAGUGAAAAUCCAGCGCUUAACGUUGGAAGUGCUUUGGAAACUGCCGGGCUGGAGUGCAGGAGGGGCAGGCGGAAUUCCUAGUGUAGCGGUGAAAUGCGUAGAUAUUAGGAGGAACACCAGUGGCGAAGGCGGCCUGCUGGACUGCAACUGACGUUGAGGCUCGAAGGCGUGGGGAGCAAACAGGAUUAGAUACCCCGGUA